GAUGAACGCUGGCGGCGUGCCUAAUACAUGCAAGUCGAACGCAUUGUGGUUGAAAUGAUAUGAAGAACUUGUUCAGAUUUGAUUUUCAACAUUGCAAUGAGUGGCGAACGGGUGAGUAACACGUGGGAAACCUACCUCUUAGCAGGGGAUAACAUUUGGAAACAAAUGCUAAUACCGUAUAAUAAUUAAAACCGCAUGGUUUUAGUUUAAAAGAUGGUCUUGCUAUCACUAAGAGAUGGUCCCGCGGUGUAUUAGUUAGUUGGUGAGGUAAUGGCUCACCAAGACAAUGAUACAUAGCCGAGUUGAGAGACUGACCGGCCACAAUGGGACUGAGACACGGCCCAUACUCCUACGGGAGGCAGCAGUAGGGAAUCUUUCCACAAUGGACGAAAGUCUGAUGGAGCAACGCCGCGUGUGUGAUGAAGGGUUUCGGCUCGGUAAAACACUGUUGUAAGAGAAGAAUGACAUUGAGAGUAACUGUUCAAUGUGUGACGGUAUU
rnacentral:rRNA from 1 species